AAGCUCUGCUGGUCGCAGAAUAACACAAAAAAGCCCAAGGCGAAUAUGUAAUAUAUUUGGAAAUGGGUGUUCUGAGCUUUCAAUACUGGCAACACUUCUCUUUUCCAGAAAGUCUUCUUUACUGCCAGGAACUUAAGAGGAGGAAAAUGAUCUAUUAUUCGUGGGUGAGUCAAAAAUUACCCACACUCCGGUUAUAUGAAAACUUCCGUCAGCUGCACAGUCUUAUCAGUGC